rnacentral:lncRNA from 1 species
CACAUAUUUACCCAAAGAGAGACAAAACACGAGUGAAUGAGGGCAAACUAAAAGAAAAAGAAGAUAACUGCAAGAGGAUUUUGCGAGUGACUCUGAGCAGCAGGUUAAGAGAAAAUCAUUCUUUUAUUAGAGCUCCUGGAUCUCUAAAGUAAGACCUCUGAAACCACGAAACAACAGGAGCAAUUAUAUGUCAUAAAUACAUGAAAACACAUCUGAGGUGUAGCAAUCAAGACAACCCUGGGUGUGAAACCCACACAUUCCUCACAGGAAAGUUCCUUAUCUGGUCCCAGGAAACAGGAUAUAAAUCUUUCCAGACUCAUUUACACUUUCAGGUUAAAUAAGUGACCCAACCGGAGGUUGACUAAACCUCCGACUCUUCACGAUUGGUCAAUUCGGAGAACAGAGACAGAGUUUUAUUACCUUUCAAACUGACUCCAUUUGCUGACCAUCUAAAUAAACAUUAACGUCUCAACCCAGAUCUCCCAUUUGAGAUUUAGUGUCUUAAAGUGUGUGAACAUACGGACCCUAGGAAAAGGGGGGACACUGACCUCCAGACCUCGGUCGUAAAACCCUGCUCGACCAUGCACUGAUAAAGACUACAUUCCUUUGGUGAAAGAAUACAAAUGACUGAUCCUGACAUCUUAUGCAUUCAGCAAUGUACUAAUCUGUCUAAUCAUGAAAUUUGUGUUAAAAUGAGAUGUUUUCCGUUUUUCUAUGUGCUUCAGAAGCCAAAUUAUCACUCCGGAUAUCUUUAGACCAACAGCUUUUCAGACUGUUUCAUGAACUUUUAAGAGUUAAAUUUAUUGAUUGUGACUCAUAACUUAGCUCUAAUUAACAGAAAUGGUUUAGAAAUGUUUGUUCUAUAUUUUAAUCGUUUAUUUAGUAUUUUUAACCAUUAGGUGGUUAUAAUGUCAUUGAAUAACCUGAAUGUGAGUAUUUAGAAUCCAUUAUUAAUCAUGAUGACGUUCAUUCACAUGUAUUUACUCUUUUGUUGUUCACAGUUUCCAUGUGUUACUAUCUGUUUCAUUUCAGAGUAAUUUAGCAUGUUUAAUGUGAUACUUAAAACAUAAUGAGAAUGUUUGAUGUGAUCCUACACUUCAUUCAUAUGUGUUUAGUGUCAAAUUAUUUAUCAUGAAACCUAGCAUUCAAUGAUAUUAAUCAUAAUGAGUGAGUAUCAGAUCUGACUCUUUUACCAGCCAAAAGUAUAAGUUAGAUCAAAUAAUCAGAGAUCCGAGUUCAUCUCUGCUUGGAGACCACACAACCCCUCCUCCUCUUUCUCCUCACACCCACACGCCGGAGACACACCCAGUGUGAGAAGAUAAAACCAGUGAAGUGGGGUUGCUCACUCUCUUAUCUCUCUUAUUCCUCUUAUGCUUCUGCUCUUCUGCUGACUCUCUUGUCCCCGGCUCUUAUGCCCCUUCUCUUCUGCCCACACCCUUCUGUGGUGCGUUUCUUUGUUUUCUCUUAGAACUUUUUCUUAGUCUUCUAAGUUUUACGCCACGUGUUGAUUCACGUUGAUUUUUCUUUAACAUCGUCUUAGUUCAAGUUUUGAAACUUCAACUUUUUGUGCACAUAGCAAUUCAAGAUUAAGCCUUUGAUUGAUUUUUCUUUAAUUUCGCGAAGCCAUUUUUGAAAGUUUUCUCUGCUCUUUGAGCCUCGUUUUUCUGAGUUUUCUGCGUGAUUCAAAGUCACCUCUGAACGCAACCCAGCAGGCCCAGGUCAUCCUCUGUGCCAGAGUUUUUAAGUGAGACCAAAGAAGUACCCAAACGAGCAUCCACAGGAUCCACAGGCGCUGGCUUUGCUUCGGGCCCGAGUGCUGCAACUCCUGGCUCAUCCUUCGGCUGACUUCAGUCGUCUUCUGAGCUGAACCGCUCGAACCGCCAGUAGCCCUGGACCUUCGGAACCUGCUCCAUCUUCUCCAAGGACCAGUCUCACUUAAGUAUGCAAACCUCCAGAGCUCCAGAGAGGGCUGGUGCUGUCUCAUGCGUUCAUAACUCAGAUAUCCACCUAUUUCUGGUGAUCUUAGAUUCCUCCAAAUCCACAUCCGAGUUUAUCUCGACACCAAAGUUAGUGUAGGUUAAUAUGUUAGCGCAUAUUCACUCACUAUCAUUAACUUUAGUGCUCCUAGCCUGACUCAGAAUCUUUAUUUAUUCACCUAUUAUUAUUUUAUCCUCAUUAUCUUAUCAUUUAUUGCAUGUGUGUUGUACCAUCAUUUAUCCUGUAAUAAACAGAUCAUUAUUUUUCUAAGUUCCUGUCUGUUAGUGUUCUUCCAGAAGUGGAGUCCCUGAAAUUAGAAUUUCGACUUAAGAUAUGAGACUGAUUAAUUAAGACUGAUUAAUUAAGACUGAUUAAUUAAAACUGACUUGAUGUUUGAUUUCUGAAUUAAACUUUUGUUUUCUUUAUUUUCCCACCAUUAAGGGUGGGUGGUGCCCCUUUCAACGAGUGCAUAAAUGUCAUAAUUUGAGAUUAUUAAUCUUCAGACAUUUAUUAUAAAUUCCAAUCGCCAAGUAUUAUUUUGGUGCGGCCUUGUGUGGCUCAUUUCAAAUCGCUACAUAUAUUUUGGUGCGACCGUAUGAGGCCCAUUUCAAAAAUACAUAUAUAUUUUGGAGCCCCUGCGUGAGGCGUUUCAAACAAAACUUCUGGAUACUAACAGACAACCUAAAACUUAGCCUUCCAAAUUGAUGCGAGAGACUUAUUUCCAGGCUAUUUUAGACUUAAUCACAAUCAAUGCUAUGCUUGCUGAAGUUGCUUGACUAAGUUCUGAUGUUUUCCUGAUCUAUGCAUAAAACCUUUAUGCUCUGUGUUUCACACACUUUUGUACUACAUGCCUGUAGUCUGUGUUUGAGCUGGACAGCGUGAAAUGUUGUUCUGAGUAGCAGUGAGACUGACUCCUCUGCUCUGUCUAAACUGUCCAAUAUUUAAGUGCACGAUUGUUGCGUCGCCGUACGCUUGUAUUUAAGGCCUUUGGCUGAACCCAGUGUUCGCGAUGCUCCGAGCUGUGGUUUCAAGCCCCUGAAGUCUCUGUAGUCUGCUACGAGGUUCUAGUAACUAUAUGGGAUUCAGAUUUCCUCCUUUCCCCUGACAGAUUAGCUACCUGUCACAGGAAACCACUGUAACAGUGGGAGGUUGUUGUUUGAUUGAAUUCAGACAAAAUUUGUGUUCACAAAUCGCCGCCUUUGUGAUUUUAAAGUCUGCAGUUGAAUCUGCUGUUGAGGGAUUUGUCACUUUGAUUCUUGUCUCUAUAGUCUGCUACGAAGUUCUAGUAACUAUAUGGGAUUCAGAUUUCCUCCUUUCCCCUGACAGAUUAACUACCUGUCACAGGAAACCACUGUAACAGUGGGAGGUUGUUGUUUGAAUGAAUUCAGACAAAAUUUGUGAUCACAAAUCGCCGCAUUUGUGAUUUUAAAGUCUGCAGUUGAAUCUGCUGUUUAAGAAUUUGUCACUUUGAUUCUUGUUCCUGUAAAUGAUUUUAUUGAACCAAUCUGCCUGAGCAGAUGGUGUAAAGUUCUAUGUUUGAGGGUGCAGACACAGCUGCUGUGAAAUGUUAACCCUUUGUUGUCAGUGGAGAGACUGACCAUUUGGCCUUAAGCAGAUAAGGCCCUUCAAGGAGGCAGAGCCUAAAGGCCCCUUCCUUCAGACUUCCCAACUUCACACAGCCACAAGAGGCUAGUUGGAUGACUGUUUCCUCUUUGCUUCUUCUUCUCCACUUGUGUUGAGCUUGUGCAGUUCUCCCAACUCCAUACUGCCCCACAUGGUUGCUUUUGGUAUUGAGCUAACACUGCUAUUAUCUGCCUGCAGUAUCAGCCAGCUGUACUGCCUCUCUGUAGUCAGUGUGUAACACUCUACAGACAUAACUCAAGUGAUUGACUUGGUUGAUGAAGUUUGAUGUGCUUAUUCUAAAUCAUUGAUCAUUGAUUUUUGAUUUUUAUCUUUGUUAUAAGAGCCUACAUAAUGUAUUGAUAAAGUAACUCCUUGAAUCAAUCACCUGAUCUGUUGUUACUUAUCACACCAUUGAGCAGUUUUACUGUUCCCUAUAAUACAUGAAUGUAUUAACCCUCCUCAUAAGAUUAAUUAAUUAAUGAACAAAUUAAUUAAUAUUUGAAAUCUAUUUUACCAUUUCAGAUGAAUUGGGUAGUUGAAUCUUUGGCUUUAUUGCAAUUUGUGAAUUAACUUCAGAGUUAAUUCCUUAAAUUGACAAUUUCAUUGGUUUCAGAUUCAUCCAACUGCAUCAGGCAGUUUAUUUAAGCUUUGCUGAUCUCUGCAACACGGAGACAAUUUGAACCCUUUAUUCAAUGGUUCUGUAUCUGAUGUUAAAUUUAAUUUAACAUUAUUUCACCUUGUUUUAUUUCAAUUUUCAUUGAAAUGAAUUUAACUUUAUGUUAUUUUUCUCUCCAUUAGAGAUCUACUCAGAUAGGCUCUUCCUCUUUAUCAAGCACUGAUAAAUUAAGUCGAUUAACUCACUUAAUUUGAUAUUUUGCUUCUUCUUUUCAUUUUAAGCCAACUCAAACUCAUCAACCAACCACCUGCUCCUCUUUACCAAAACCAAACAUGCCUAACACAAAAGAGUCCAGCCUGGGAGACCCCCUGAGGGACAUACACACAGUGUUAGCAAACUUAACUAGUCAGCUGAUACCUCAGUACAUGACUAAGAUUCAUAAGGCCAAACCCUCCAAUCCGGAGGAUGAAAUGGCUGACUUACUGGAAACAGCCUUAACCACGACACUUCGUGACAAAGAGCUCACUAGAUGCAUGUCUGUCAUGAUGUCUUCUCAGCUUGAGUAUAAAGACUACUUGCUGGAAUGCGCUUUAGCAAAGAUAAAGGCGCAAAAGAUGAAAACAGCGCUCUGAAAAAGACGCUAGAGGAGACUAAGAAGUCUUUAAGUGUUUUAGAAAAACACAGUGCCAGAUGUGAAGCGUCAAAGCUUCCCUCACUGAUAAGUCAUGAAGAAAAUCUUGAUCUCAAAGACAAGAUUGAAAGACUUAAUGAAAACCUUUACAAAAAGGAGAAAGAACUUGAUGACACGAAUAAGCAGCUUGCUAAGACCACAGAGGAUCUGAUACAGUCAGAAUCCCUACUAGAGCAAGCAACAGAAGAUGUAAAAACUUUGAAAGCACUGGUCAAAGUGCGUGCUGAAGCUCUUGAAGUUAAGGAGAAGCAAACUUCUACCUUACAGCACCAGCUCCAGAUAGCUCAAAGACAGUUAAUUCUUUGUCAAGAACGGCAAGAAAAGACAGACAAAGAACUUGAAGAUGCCCAAAGAGAGUUACAAUGCUCCCUCCAGUCAGGUCGAGCCCAAAGAGAACGCAUGGAGCAAACGUUUCUUGAAGAAAUGAUAGGUGAUCAGCCACUUGAGAGAGCGCCAUCACUUCCUUCCAAACCAACUCUUAAGUAUCUCUCUCAGCAUCAUGACAGGACCCUGCUUGACCCUGAGAGGUCAUCCUUAAAGCAACAGUCCUACUCUCCUCCUCAUGAUGGCUUCUUACCAUUUCCCUCAGACAGGGAUCUUGACAAAAUUGCUCGCAACAUAGCACGCUUUGAACCUGAGCACCAAGCUGCUAUUGACACCUGCACCUACUUGAAAGACAUUGACUUUUACCUGAGGAAAUUUCCAGGUGCAACCAUUGAUGACAAAAUCUACCUUAUUAAGGCAACGUCAAGUCGAGAGGUUAGCAGUUUCCUUGAACGACAGCCUUAUCAUGUCAGAAAUAAUUAUGACUUGCUCUGCCAAGCAUUAAUUGAAGAGUUUUCUGACUAUUUGACCCAGACAGGCCUCUCUGCUGCUCUGUCUAUUAAACAAGGGAGAUCAGAACCUCCCCAACAGUAUUACAACCGCUUACGCGAAGCUUACUUUGGUUUCCGAAAUGAACCAGAAAUGGAGGAGGACUUGAACUUCAAAAGGCUGUUCGUCCAGAACCUCCACCCUACCACCAGUCAUCACCUUGGCGUCUUAGCUUGUCCAAACACUUUGACUAGCCGACAGCUUCGUGAACUUGCUGUAAAAGGUUUUGCCAAACAACGACAAACUUUGGCUAAGAAAGCAGAGCCCGUUACUCUCUUGGCUAUGGGGACAAAAUCACUGCCCAUGGAGCUGAACGAAGCUUCAGACUGUGUAUUUUCAGGCUCCGAUAAGCCUCCAAAUGAGUGGUUAACCAGGCCUCCAAAACCUUUUCGACCUCAACACAUUCACAAAGGUCAAAGUUACACACCAAGGCCCGGGUCUGACACAGACCAAUGCCAGGUAAACUUUGAGACCAACUGUUGUUAUUCAGACUCCCGUCACGGUGGGUUUUAUCCCAGACAAAGGAAAAACCAUCAACACCGCCAAAGGGGGGUGAAUGACUGGCAGAAUCAGAGUAAAUCACACUCUCAGAAACGACAAUCUUAUUAUCCACCUCAAUCGGUUUCAUCCACUUCGAAGGUGAAUAAACAUGACAACUCAGCUAACCACUGAGAUUAACACUGCGGAGUCAUGAAGGUGUGAGUCCUGCGAAAGCAGAAGUCACCUAGCCAAAGCUAAAUGACUCCAAUAAGAUAUCCAAAUGCUGUGGUGAUACAUUGAUGACUGCAAUCCCAGUUGCUGCUUUCUUUGUUAGCAUUUGUCUCUCCUCUGUCAAUAUGGUCAGCUUGUCAGCUGUCAAAUAUCCCAUGAACAGAUUAAAAGCUGAAAUUUCUGUCAUUAAGACUCAGAUUGACAAAUUUCAGACUCAACAGCAGAUAAUUAGUCAAACCGAUAAGAGCAUCAUCCCCAAGUUUAACAGACAAAGUUUAAGAGAAACUCUGUGCAGUAAACUUUUGAUGUUUGUGAUUCAGGUUGACUAUGCUCAUACACAGAUGGUUAAUAUGUCUAUAGCAGACAUUUCUUUUCCACCUAAGUCUUAACCAUUUUUGAAACUGAAAUUGAACUUUCAGACUUCUCCAGCAAGCAUGAAAAACAGCUAUAGCUUUAGAUCCGGUUAGCAUUCAGACUAAAGAGUGCUUUUCUAAAUCUCAUUAAUACUGAAAAUUAGGAGAUUUUCUUUCACAUUAGUCUACCAAUAGUUAACUGAGAAAAGUCUAACACCUAGACAAUUUUAUUUGAUAGCUUAAUGCAUGCUUGAUGUUAUCUUAAAGCAGAUACUAGUGAUUCACAUAGUGAUAAUGAGACGCAUCAGUCCUAUUUGCAUACACCUGCUGCUGCUGCUGCUGCUUCAUGGUUGUCUACUCGUCGUCCCGAUGCUCCAUGGACAGGACCACCGUGACGAAGGGGGGACUGUAGCAAUCAAGACAACCCUGGGUGUGAAACCCACACAUUCCUCACAGGAAAGUUCCUUAUCUGGUCCCAGGAAACAGGAUAUAAAUCUUUCCAGACUCAUUUACACUUUCAGGUUAAAUAAGUGACCCAACCGGAGGUUGACUAAACCUCCGACUCUUCACGAUUGGUCAAUUCGGAGAACAGAGACAGAGUUUUAUUACCUUUCAAACUGACUCCAUUUGCUGACCAUCUAAAUAAACAUUAACGUCUCAACCCAGAUCUCCCAUUUGAGAUUUAGUGUCUUAAAGUGUGUGAACAUACGGACCCUAGGAAAAGGGGGGACACUGACCUCCAGACCUCGGUCGUAAAACCCUGCUCGACCAUGCACUGAUAAAGACUACAUUCCUUUGGUGAAAGAAUACAAAUGACUGAUCCUGACAUCUUAUGCAUUCAGCAAUGUACUAAUCUGUCUAAUCAUGAAAUUUGUGUUAAAAUGAGAUGUUUUCCGUUUUUCUAUGUGCUUCAGAAGCCAAAUUAUCACUCCGGAUAUCUUUAGACCAACAGCUUUUCAGACUGUUUCAUGAACUUUUAAGAGUUAAAUUUAUUGAUUGUGACUCAUAACUUAGCUCUAAUUAACAGAAAUGGUUUAGAAAUGUUUGUUCUAUAUUUUAAUCGUUUAUUUAGUAUUUUUAACCAUUAGGUGGUUAUAAUGUCAUUGAAUAACCUGAAUGUGAGUAUUUAGAAUCCAUUAUUAAUCAUGAUGACGUUCAUUCACAUGUAUUUACUCUUUUGUUGUUCACAGUUUCCAUGUGUUACUAUCUGUUUCAUUUCAGAGUAAUUUAGCAUGUUUAAUGUGAUACUUAAAACAUAAUGAGAAUGUUUGAUGUGAUCCUACACUUCAUUCAUAUGUGUUUAGUGUCAAAUUAUUUAUCAUGAAACCUAGCAUUCAAUGAUAUUAAUCAUAAUGAGUGAGUAUCAGAUCUGACUCUUUUACCAGCCAAAAGUAUAAGUUAGAUCAAAUAAUCAGAGAUCCGAGUUCAUCUCUGCUUGGAGACCACACAACCCCUCCUCCUCUUUCUCCUCACACCCACACGCCGGAGACACACCCAGUGUGAGAAGAUAAAACCAGUGAAGUGGGGUUGCUCACUCUCUUAUCUCUCUUAUUCCUCUUAUGCUUCUGCUCUUCUGCUGACUCUCUUGUCCCCGGCUCUUAUGCCCCUUCUCUUCUGCCCACACCCUUCUGUGGUGCGUUUCUUUGUUUUCUCUUAGAACUUUUUCUUAGUCUUCUAAGUUUUACGCCACGUGUUGAUUCACGUUGAUUUUUCUUUAACAUCGUCUUAGUUCAAGUUUUGAAACUUCAACUUUUUGUGCACAUAGCAAUUCAAGAUUAAGCCUUUGAUUGAUUUUUCUUUAAUUUCGCGAAGCCAUUUUUGAAAGUUUUCUCUGCUCUUUGAGCCUCGUUUUUCUGAGUUUUCUGCGUGAUUCAAAGUCACCUCUGAACGCAACCCAGCAGGCCCAGGUCAUCCUCUGUGCCAGAGUUUUUAAGUGAGACCAAAGAAGUACCCAAACGAGCAUCCACAGGAUCCACAGGCGCUGGCUUUGCUUCGGGCCCGAGUGCUGCAACUCCUGGCUCAUCCUUCGGCUGACUUCAGUCGUCUUCUGAGCUGAACCGCUCGAACCGCCAGUAGCCCUGGACCUUCGGAACCUGCUCCAUCUUCUCCAAGGACCAGUCUCACUUAAGUAUGCAAACCUCCAGAGCUCCAGAGAGGGCUGGUGCUGUCUCAUGCGUUCAUAACUCAGAUAUCCACCUAUUUCUGGUGAUCUUAGAUUCCUCCAAAUCCACAUCCGAGUUUAUCUCGACACCAAAGUUAGUGUAGGUUAAUAUGUUAGCGCAUAUUCACUCACUAUCAUUAACUUUAGUGCUCCUAGCCUGACUCAGAAUCUUUAUUUAUUCACCUAUUAUUAUUUUAUCCUCAUUAUCUUAUCAUUUAUUGCAUGUGUGUUGUACCAUCAUUUAUCCUGUAAUAAACAGAUCAUUAUUUUUCUAAGUUCCUGUCUGUUAGUGUUCUUCCAGAAGUGGAGUCCCUGAAAUUAGAAUUUCGACUUAAGAUAUGAGACUGAUUAAUUAAGACUGAUUAAUUAAGACUGAUUAAUUAAAACUGACUUGAUGUUUGAUUUCUGAAUUAAACUUUUGUUUUCUUUAUUUUCCCACCAUUAAGGGUGGGUGGUGCCCCUUUCAACGAGUGCAUAAAUGUCAUAAUUUGAGAUUAUUAAUCUUCAGACAUUUAUUAUAAAUUCCAAUCGCCAAGUAUUAUUUUGGUGCGGCCUUGUGUGGCUCAUUUCAAAUCGCUACAUAUAUUUUGGUGCGACCGUAUGAGGCCCAUUUCAAAUCACUACAGAGGAUAACACUUUCUUUAUGACUGUAAAGCUGCUUUUUAGCCACCAGAUUUACAAUGUUA